AUGUGCGGGUGUGCGGAGGCGCUCGUGAGGGCGGUGGUGGCCUUCUUCGACGCCUUCCUCGUCGACUGCUUCCUCUUCUGGUUCCGCCGCUGCCACCGUCGCCCCGGCCCCAACAGCCACGCCUCCGCCCAUCGGGAUCCGCUCGUGCCCAAGGACUGGACAAGGGAGGCGCUCCCGGCCUCGGACGAAGAGAAAGGUUUUGCAGAGAGCACAUUGUUGAACCAGCAGUUGGCAGAUGGCGAUGACACAGAUGAGGAGCUUAGGCGAGAGAACACUACUUCAGUUAAUACACUAUCCAGUACUGCUAGUUCUCAUCUCACUUGUUGUGCUUCUUGUACUGGGAGCACUCUUUGUUAUCCCAAGAUCUAA
rnacentral:rRNA from 1 species